rnacentral:rRNA from 1 species
AUUGAACGCUGGCGGCAUGCCUUACACAUGCAAGUCGAACGGCAGCACGGGGGCAACCCUGGUGGCGAGUGGCGAACGGGUGAGUAACAUAUCGGAACAUACCCUAGAGUGGGGGAUAACGUAGCGAAAGUUACGCUAAUACCGCAUACGAUCUAAGGAUGAAAGUGGGGGGAUCUUCGGACCUCAUGCUCAUGGAGUGGCCGAUAUCUGAUUAGCUAGUUGGUGAGGUAAAGGCUCACCAAGGCGACGAUCAGUAGCUGGUUUGAGAGAACGACCAGCCACACUGGAACUGAGACACGGUCCAGACUCCUACGGAGGCAGCAGUGGGGAAUUUUGGACAAUGGGGGCAACCCUGAUCCAGCAAUGCCGCGUGAGCGAAGAAGCCCUUUGGGGUGUAAAGGACUCUGUCAGCUGGAACGAAUAAA